AUUUGCCUGGUUCGCCAGGCAAGGACAUGGUGCGGGAUCAAUUAACACCAUUGUGAACCAUUGAAAUGUCUAUUGGCGGUCGUGAUUUGUUCCAUCAUUGAGGACGCUGACUCUUACGGGUCUUCUGCCUUCUACCUCUGCUAGGAGAGGCUCUGGUGGCUGAGAACUCUAUUAGAGUGAUCUGAUCGCGGCUCGCCAGCCUAGAUGAAACACCAUAUUUUUCUUAUCUGUCUUAAUAAAUCUCUCUUAAUUGAGAAACAAUGAGAAACAACUUUAGACAACGGAUCUCUUGGCUCUCGCAACGAUGAAGAACGCAGCGAAAUGCGAUACGUAGUGUGAAUUGCAGAAUCCAGUGAAUCAUCGAAUCUUUGAACGCACAUUGCGCCCUUGGGUAUUCCUGGGGGCAUGCCUGUUUGAGAACCUUGACGUACCUCACACCCCACCUUGGUGUUUUAGCUUCGGCGAAAUAAUCCUCAUAGGUGCUGGGAGUGGAUUUGGGCCUAGUCUUCUUCCUUGGUGGAGAAGAGGCCUUAAAUGUAAUGUCGACCGCAUUCUUCACUUUGGCUGGGUUUGCUUGAGGCACAUCAAGACGUGAUUAAUACCUUCAUUGGUUUGUCCUAACGUCGAUAACUGAGCCUCGUGAACUGUCCCAAUUGAUUGUAGCGCAAUCGCUCAUACCACAAUACAUUGCCAGGCAGUGAAGACAGAACCUCUAUUUGGAGAUUCUGAAUUGACUGAAUACCUGAACACCUGGUCUCAAAUCAAGACAAGAAAUACCCGCUGAACUUAAGCAUAUCAGUAAGCGGAGGAAAAGAAACUAACAAGGAUUCCCCUAGUAACGGCGAGUGAAGCGGGAAAAGCUCAAUUUUUAAAUCUCUCGGGUUCCCCGAGCGAAUUGUGGUUUAGAGAAGCGUUUUCUGGGGUCGCUUGAGUGUAAGUCCUCUGGAACGGGGCAUCAGAGAGGGUGAGAAUCCCGUCCUCAACUCAAUGCGCACUCCUCUACGAUACGUCUUCGAAGAGUCGGAUAGCUUGGGAAUGCUGUCCAAAAUGGGUGGUAAAUACCAUCUAAAGCUAAAUAUAGGCGAGAGACCGAUAGCGAACAAGUACCGUGAGGGAAAGAUGAAAAGAACUUUGAAAAGAGAGUUAAACAGUACGUGAAAUUGUCUAAAGGGAAACGCUUGAAAUCAGUCUUGCGCGCCUGAGAUCAGCCAUUCAUCAGGGUGGUGCACUCUCAGUCGUGCGGGUCAGCAUCGGUUUGGAUUGGGGUAAAAGGCUUGAGGACGGCGUUCGCGUCUGCCUGUGAGUGAUGCCCUGAACCAGACCGAGGAACGCAGUCAUGUUAUUGGAGAACCGCUCGCCUCUUUCUUCGCGGAGUCAGACAACUUGUUGACUGUCACUGUUUGCAGAUUGCGCACGGGCGGCUAUCACACCUUGACUUAGGAUGCUGACGAAAUGGUUUUAAACGAUCCGUCUUGAAACACGGAC
rnacentral:rRNA from 1 species